AUGCUGCCUCUGAAUAUGGAGGCUCCACAUAACCAUCAGGGAUGUAGAUCUCUCCUGCUCCUUCGCAACAGAUGUCUAAUCCACUUUUCAAGUCAUCUGAGGGGGUGACUGCCAUCCAGACCUGUGCCAAUGAUGUCCUUUCAGUCAUUAUGCAAUACUAAUAACAGCAGAGGGAAAGGCCUUCAAAAUGCCACAGGAGGGGAAUUACACCGUUCCAAAGGACGUUUACAGUUUUUUUAAAAAAUGUUGAAGACAGUAGUGCCUAGCAGCAAGCGAUCUCGACGGUGUGUGCUGAAGCUCUCAUCGCGCACGCCUCGGCACAUGACCGCAUUCGUGAGCGAGAGGGAGGCUUGGGAGAGUCCACCAGAAUGUAACCACCUCCUCCUGAGAUUCAUCAGGAGGGAACAUAAACCAAAAUGACUCCUGCAGAACCCAGAGGAAAAGGACUGUUUGCUGGAGAAAUAUGGCUGUGGGUAAAAUUACAUGUUCUCCAAGCCCCAAGGCUGAGAGAAAUAAAAAGCAUUUUAAAUGGA